UCCUACGGGAGGCAGCAGUGAGGAAUUUUCCGCAAUGGGCGAAAGCCUGACGGAGCGACGCCGUGUGUGGGAUGACGUCCUUCGGGAUGUAAACCACUGUCAGAGGGAGAGAUAUUGACGGUACCCUCAGAGGAAGUCUCGGCUAACCACGUGCCAGCAGCCGCGGUAAGACGUGGGAGACUAGCGUUACUCGGAAUCAUUGGGCGUAAAGGGCGUGUAGGCGGUCUGGUAAGUCGGGCGUUAAAUCUACGGGCUCAACCCGUAGCCGCGUCCGAUACUGUCGGACUUGAGAAUGAUAGAGGAAAGCGGAACUUCCGGUGUAGCGGUGAAAUGCGUAGAUAUCGGAAGGAACACCAGUGGCGAAGGCGGCUUUCUGGGUCAUUUCUGACGCUGAGACGCGAAAGCCAGGGGAGCAAACGGGAUUAGAUACCCCGGUAGUCCUGGCCCUAAACGAUGUUCACUAGGUGUUAAAGGUAUCGACCCCUUUAGUGCCGCAGCUAACGCGUUAAGUGAACCGCCUGGGAAUUACGACCGCAAGGUUAAGACUCAAAUGAAUUGACGG
rnacentral:rRNA from 1 species